GAUGAAGAACGUAGCGAAAUGCGAUAAGUAAUGUGAAUUGCAGAAUUCAGUGAAUCAUCGAAUCUUUGAACGCACAUUGCGCCCGCCAGUAUUCUGGCGGGCAUGCCUGUCUGAGCGUCAUUUCAACCCUCAUGCCCCUAGGGCGUGGUGUUGGGGAUCGGCCAAAGCCCGCGAGGGACGGCCGGCCCCUAAAUCUAGUGGCGGACCCGUCGUGGCCUCCUCUGCGAAGUAGUGAUAUUCCGCAUCGGAGAGCGACGAGCCCCUGCCGUUAAACCCCCAACUUUCCAAGGUUGACCUCAGAUCAGGUAGGAAUACCCGCUGAACUUAAGCAUAUCAAUAAGCGGACGA
rnacentral:misc_RNA from 1 species